GGCGCACGCGCGCGCUGCCCGCGCCGGCGCAGAGAGCAGCGGCGGGGUAACGGCCUGCUAACGGCCCCGCAACGGCGGCGGCGCGCGGGCCGCCAUGGCGUACUCGACGUGCUGCAGGGUGGCCAUGGUCUCCUGCCUGGUGCUCUGCGUCUCCCUCCUCCUGCCGCGGACCUUCUUGUCUCGGGGCGGCGGGAGGCAGGAGCCCGGGGCUGCGCCGCUCGCAGCGCCCGCGCCGCCCGAGGGGAAGCUCGGUCGCUUUCCACCGAGGAUGCAUUACCAGGCCACUCCCGACAGCCGAGCUACCCCUCAUUUUCCAAGGUCUCACCUUGCUGAAGCAGUUGCCAAAGCCAAGGCAGGUGGAGGUGGUGGUGGAAGCACUGGUGGAAGUGGGAGAGGUCUCGUGGGGCAGAUUAUCCCUAUAUAUGGAUUUGGCAUCUUCUUAUAUAUCCUGUACAUUUUAUUUAAGCUGGCUUCCAAAGGAAAAACUGUAGCUGGAGAGCGGAAAUGCCCUACUGCUGCACCGGGAAACAUGAAGAGGAAAAUCACUGACUAUGAGCUCACUCAACUCCAGGAAAAACUGAGAGAGACAGAAGAAGCUAUGGAAAAAUUAAUCAACAGAGUAGGACCUAACUGUGACAGCAGGACUCAAAAUGUUACAACAGACCAGGAAAAAAGGUUACUUCAGCAACUCCGAGAAAUCACUAGAGUUAUGAAAGAAGGAAAAUUCAUAGAUGGCAUCUCUCCUGAGAAGGAAGCUGAAGAAGCUCCUUACAUGGAGGAUUGGGAAGGUUAUCCAGAAGAGACCUAUCCUGUCUAUGAUGAUUCUGAUUGCUUCAAGCGCAAACAGGACACAAUCCUUGUAGAUUACCCUGACCUUAGCCAGCCCUCUGCAGAAGAGCUGGCAGAAAGAAUGGAGGACAUGGAAGAUGAGGACCAUCUGUGCAAUGAAACCCUGCUAACUGAGCUCACCACGGGAAGGGGCGGUAAUGCUUUAACGCAGAAAAAGGAUGAGAUAACUGACAUCAGUGAAGAGGAGAGGGGCCUUCAUCGCAGCCAAAGCAUUGAGGAGUGCUGCUGCUGUUACGACGACGAUGAUCCUGCUGUCAUAGCGGAGAACGCUGGAUUCCACACCGACAGCUGCAGUGAAGCAGAAGAGUCAACCCAUGAGGAUCUGUCUGUGGAAUCAGAAAAUGAAAAUGCAGCACUGAAAAAGCAAAAAGCCUGUGAUUCAGAUGAAACAGGCACACUGAGAAAGCGCAACACGAAAGGACUUGAGUAAGAGGGACAAUACUGGAUGUUAUCUAGAUGGUGAAGGUAGAGGUCAUAAAUGGUCGUUCAUGUGUUUUUUGUUUCCAGCGCAGGCUUCUCUACCAAUUCUUCUACCAAUUUCAUUCCUGUGGUAACAGUCAGCCAUAUCAUCUACCUGAACUGGAAGCCAAUGCCCUCUUUCAUGCAGUCUUGUCAUGGCUUACCAUGACGUUGCCAACAGCCCUUUGUCUGUGCUUUUUGGAGACUGGUAUCUUGGAGCAGAUUAUUCCGUUCAGAUAUUUGUGAUUCUUUCCAAUUCUGAACAAACAGUCCUUAUCUUUACCCAUUGUCAUCCCAGAGUUAACCAAAUGUCUCUUCUGACUUUCUCAAAAAUAUCUGUGUGCUACCAGUUAUGAAAAUUAAUCAAAUGUAUAUCUAUAUAUGAGAUGACUAGGAAGCUGGAGGAGAAAGUAUGCCUUUCUUUUACCUGAAUGUUAAUUGAUGAGCAGUUGACACAUGUGACUCUUUCUCAACCAUGUCAUUGCUGCUGUACGCCCAAGAAACUGUUGUCACUGCCAUCCACAAAAUUCAUAUGCUACCCCAACCCAGAGCUCAUUUCCCAGCUUAUUCCAUGCUGCAGGACCGGUAGCCUAAUCUGUGUUGUGUUCCAGGAAGAGCGUGAGCACGACUGAAGUGUUACGAAUUGUUCUUUGUCUUUGCCAUAGCUGUGGUGAAACGCCUUGGUGAAACUCACAGGUAAGUGCAGGAAUCGGACCAUACUUUGUCUUACAGAAGAACACUAAAAAUAUCCCUGGAGAUUAAAAAAAAAAAAAAAAAAAAAAAGAGAGGAGUGAGAAGGUUUGUCCUUAAAAGUAAAGAACAGAUCGAGGGUGAACCUCAGACUGAAAGAAACACCACCACCUCCAGGCCCCAAGGACCCCCCUUGGUGGCCUCCGACAGACUCCUCACGUGGCCUUAACAGCCACUAGCCUUGGGAAGGGUUGGUGUAGCUCACAGCAAACGGCACCGAGGCAGCAGGAACGGGACAGUAGGGACCUAAGGUGGCAAACAGCCGGGCCUCUGCUCAGCCGAUGUUCAUGAGGAAGCUCGCUGUCCUCUUCAUGAAAAUGGGUAAGAGCAGCAUUUCUACAGCGUGUACCGAUUUCAAGUCCUUGAGCUCGCAGUUUGAAAGAACGUACAGGCUGAAGGUUUUACAGUGACCCGCCAUAAGAGUUUUUUUUUUUUCCUAUAGACUUUGUCUCUUAGGAGAACUCCCUGUGUGAUUUGCUAAUUCUUGUGCAGGGUCAGUUACCCAGUAUUAUCGCUUAAAACACGGGCAACUAUCAGCAACAUUUUGUUUUUCUAAAUGCCCUGUUUAGUUAUAGUAAUGACAGACAUCACAGAAUUCAACGGCACAUGAAUAGAAAAGGUCAACUUCUUCAGUGAUAUAUGGUUUAGAUCCACCUUUGACUGUGAACAAGGUUUCAUGGGAUACACAUAAGAGCAAAAUUUGGCCUCCCUUCCAAAUCCACUUCCCGAAGUAUUACUGCCAAUACUGCCCAAGAGUUUUUCCCAAUAUAGUGCAACGUAAGCAGUGACCAUCAUAGUUUAUCAAUGAAUACCGAAAUCCAUUACUUGCCCGAAGUGAUGCCAAAGAGCGUGGUGAAUUCACCAGCAAGAAACCACCCUACUGUCACUCCCCAGCACAAGCUACCGCCUUGCCUGCACGCUGGAGUUCCUCCACAGCUGGGACCGGAGCUCGUCUGUGCUUUUGUUUGGUUUUCUGUAACUGCUCUCCUUGGAUCGGAUGUUCCUUUUUCUGGCCUUCGGCCUCAAUGUAGUGCAAGUACAAUUGACAAAAAUGUUAUCUUCUCACAUGCAAUGCAAACACAUGAAAAGUUCAAAUAACUUCAAAGAGCCACAGGUCCCAUUUUUUGCCUUCAGGAGGAGCUCUUUCUUCAGUAUUAGGAGAGCUGUAUCUUAAAGGCUCCGGUUCUGCAGUUAUUUUGCUAAGCUUCCAUGCACGUCUUUGCAGCAGUGUCCUCUGACUGGUGACAAGCACCCAGGGUGGGAAACAGCACACGGGGAACCACGUGAACUGUUACACAGCAGGGUGACCGUGAGCAUGUAAUAAUUGCAUUGCUUAGUGAUAAACCCAACCGUAAUAAACCUGGUGUGGGUGUUUUUCUUACAUGGUGCCUGCUUGCGUGAAUGCUAAGAGGGGCUCUCAUCCUCCAGAUCCAGGCAGAUAUCAAGGAAGAAGAAAAAGAGAAAGGAAGAUUACUGUCUGAGAAACAAGCACAUCUCUGAUGGGCACUGUAAAAAUAAACCUAGUUAUACUGGCAUCAUUUACACCAUGCUCCUCGCAUCAAGCUCUGCCAUGCUAGUAAAGCAGUUGCUUUCGGCAUACAGCCCCCAGACCCCUGGCAUCCUCAAAAUUCAAAGAAGAAAGCGCACUGUUAUCGGGAAGCUUAAAUUCAUCGUACAGGUGUCAAUGAAUCAGAGAGGGCUGAAAACCACUGCCGUAGAAAAAGAGGACUUCAGAAACGUGGCCUCAAGUGCGUAGGCGCUGAGCUCUGCGAGUCCCGUUCAAGGAGCCAACUGUUAGAAAGGCUGCGCUGUAAGUCAUAAUGGCCACCCUGAGAAUACGGGAGGGUUCUCCAGUAUCUUGGUCAGAAACCUGUUCUGCACUUUAAAAUUCACCAACAACCUUAAACUGGGCGAUGUGAUGAAUAUCCCCCGGUGGGGAUUAUGCAACAGGAAUGGCAGGCCACCCUACAUCGAAAUGAGAACAUAUACACAGGGAUUUAACACGCUUUAAUUCACAGACAUUAACUUUACCAGUUUCACUGACUUAGCUUUCUGGAGUGUCCCCACAUGGAAAAACCUGUACAUGUUUGAGACAAGAGAAAGUUAUAGAUGGAAAAGAAAAUCAGGGAGCUUAAAACAAAACAAGGAAAUGGUAGUAACACGGAUUACGAAAAAGGUGAAAAGCAGCUACCACCUGCAAGAAAGUAUUUGAAGUGAUAUGAAAUAGGAAUUCAGCCUCGUGGACUUGUGCUAUGUAGUCCAAAAGACAGAAUAACCAGUGCUUUUGAAAACAGGGUUGUGUUUUUUAAAAAAAAAAAACAAACCAAAACACAAACAAGAAAAGAAACAUGACAACAACAAACCCUGUCAUAGUGUCACUGAAUUCGGCAGCUCUUGAGAAUCCAUCAUAGUUAAAGAGCCAUAUUCCACAAACAGCUUUUUAAGAGGACAUCGGUACAAAUCUUGUGAGAGCAGGCAUUACUGCUGUAGCCCUACGUUAAACCAGAAGUUAGAAUUAACAGUA